rnacentral:rRNA from 1 species
GACGAACACUUGCGACGUGCCUAAGAAAUGCAAGUCGAACGGGCCGCCCUUCGGGGCGGCUAGUGGCGAACGGUCGCGUAACACGUGGGCAACCUGCCCUGAAGUGGGGGACAACAGCUCGAAAGAGCUGCUAAUACCGCAUGUGGAUCGCCCCGGCAUCGGGGAUUAUCCAAAGCCUUCGGCGCUUCAGGAUGGGCCCGCGGCCUAUCAGCUUGUUGGUGGGGUAACGGCCUACCAAGGCGACGACGGGUAGCUGGUCUGAGAGGACGGCCAGCCGGAUUGGGACUGAGAUACGGCCCAGACUCCUACGGGGGGCGAGCAAUUAGGAAUCUUGCACAAUGGGGGAACCCGUGAUGCAGCGACGUCGCGUGGGGGAUGAAGUCUUUC